CACCCCUUCGAGGCUUCCUGGACUAAAGAGCUCGGCUGUCAACAAGUGGACACCUCCCUGCAGGAUGCUUUAGAUGCUGGCCAGCCAGGGAGCACCUGGCCCCAAAGCACCCCUAGUUGGGGUAGGAGGGCUGGACUCACAUGUAAAAAUCGGUGUGGUGAACAGCUGUAUGGCUGGUUCCUACUUCUAGGUUUGUUCAAAGUGUGGUGCUCAGUCCCUUUUAGCUGUCAUCCAUAACGAUCUUGGCCUUGGAGGCCAGAGUGACCUUGGGCAAGACGUGCCACCUUAACUGAGCUUCAGCUGAAGAAUGGGGCAAGAGCAUCUCUCCAUGGAGUCAUGUUAGAGAGGAAAGGAAACAAACUGUAAAGCAUCUAGUUAGAAAUUGCAGGAAGAAAUGUUUCUCUGUUCCCUUUCUCCCCAGACUCCUGAAGCCUGUUGAGGUGGAGUGCAGGCCCACAUGCUCCCCUCCUGUGGUUUGACUCUCAUCCACCACAGGCUGGUUCUGCAGGGUCCAGGCGUCCCCAAGCCCUCCCCGUCUCGUCUGCCUGGAAGAGCAGCCGCCAGGGUGUUGACGUGCCUCUGAUGAUCUUCCCCUCGAGGAAGCCGAGUGAUAGUGGUGCGGACAUGUGCUGAGCCUCCCUCUCAUCUCAAGCUCGUCAUCGGCUCCCAUAGGCAGGCACCGGAGGGGCUCCCAGCCAGCUGGGCGGGCUCCAGGCAGCAGACUCUGGUUUGCACAGGGGCUGAUUCAGGGAGGAGGGGCAGGUCCGUCACGGGGACAACUCACUGAACACUCAGUCUUUCCUGAGCCCUGGGCUGGCUCAAACCUAGAAACAGGAAGUGGCAACGUUGAUGUGGUGGGAGCCCAGGAAGCCCAGGCACCUCACUGUUGGUGUGGGGAAACUCAGUGCAAAGGACCAGAGCUCAGACUGAUUUCUUCAACAAACAUGAUUCAGAAUGACUUGCAGACUUGGCACCAUGAUGGGGACGGGAACCCAGCCCCUACCUCUCGUAUGGGCUUCCAGGGCACACGCAGGAUCCUUGAGCUGAAUCCUCAACCCCAUGGGCUUGUCUUUGACCUGGAUGUCCCUCCUAGCCGGGGAUUUGGAUUUUCCAUCUGACCAGGCAUUCCUUCCUUCCUUCAUCAAACUCAUAUGGAGCAGUCGAGGUGGCGUAUGCUGGGCUGUGCUCAUGAGGCGUGAACAGUGCUGUGAUCUGCAGGGGAGGUCAUCAGACAACUCACUUACUCUGUGUGUUGGCGGGGAGUGUUGAGUGGGUGGGGAGAGUGAAGUUGAAGAGGAAUAAAAUGCUGUCCUUGAACUCUGGCA
ensembl:lncRNA